rnacentral:misc_RNA from 1 species
GAAUUGGAGUUCAAACUCAUAAUCUCAGAGAUAAAUUCAGUACUUAAAACUCCUUGAAAUCAAAAUACAAUGAGAAUGCAAAUCUAGAGAUUUAGUUAAGUAGUAAUAUAAUCUCCAGAAUUCACAAUAGCUUUUCAAUUACACAAAUAGUAACUUCAAUCUCAUACCAUCUAGCAUCCAUAUAGUUCAGGACGGAGGCGCGGGAUGAUCUUAAUCUCCAAGGGAGUAGCCUUGGGCAAGGUAAUGCCCAAGCCUUCACUCAUGUCUACUGGCUCAUUCAAUGGUGUUGUCAAGGUAAAUCCCUGAAGCAAUCUAGCAAGAGUCAAGUGUAUCGCCUGUAUUGCAAAGUUGAGCCCAGGACAAGACCGUCUCCCUGACCCAAAUGGUAUAUACUCGAAAUUCUGACCUGUAACAUCCAAAUUUGCAUGAUUUGUAAGGAAUCUUUCUGGUAUGAACUCAUCAGGAUUCUUCCAAAUUUUUGGAUCUCUAUGCAACUUCCACAAAUUAGGAAAUAUACGAGUGCCUUUUGGUAUGUGAUAUCCUCCAAUGAGACAAUCUUCCGAAGCCUCAUGUGGAACUGCUAGUGGACCUGGCGGAUAUAGGCGCAGUGUUUCUUUAACAAUGGCCUGGACGUAUACUAAGUUUUCAAUAUCAGAGCUCUCUACACAUCGUUCCUUCCCAACUUUGAGGUCUAUUUCUUCCAUGGCAAGCUCUAGUGCGCGUCUAUUGUUCAACAAAUUGGACAAGAUCCAUGUCAGGGUGAUAGAUGUUGUAUCGGCACCUGCUAUGAUAAGAGUCAUUGCUGUGCCCUUGAUAAUGUUUUCCCGAGAAUGACCGAAGAACUCAUCCUCCAGUACAGAUAGCAUCACAUCGAUGAAGUCCUCCUCCAUGUUCUCGGAGUCACCCAUCUUCAGUCUCUUCAAUUUAUGUUCAUUAAUCCAACUUUCCAUAAGGGAAUCGUAUUCCUUGGAUAAACGCUUCAUAGUUUUUACUGGUCCAAGAAAAUUCAUCCACCAAAGAGAUGGGAUUAAAUCAGAUGGAACAAAAACACCAGAAAUAUACAUGUACUCCUUCAUAAGUUCCCCUAUUCGUUUCCCUUGUUCAUUUCCAGCAUUAGCAGAGUUGAAGUAUCUCUUCCCUGCAAUCAUUCUCGUAAUCAUAUUUAUAGUCAGAUGUUCGAAACAUUCGCUGAUCACUAUCUUGGUUGAGCCUUGCUUGCAGAGCAAAUACAGGUCAUUGAUCAGGGUGUUUACCUCAGAGACCUGAACGUGCCUAAGUGACUUGAGCCUAUGGUUGGAUAAGAGUUGAAUCAACACUAUCUUACGCAUGUUACUCCAAAAAGGGCCAUAAGAUGAGAAACCAAAUGCUGCGUAGUUGUAACUUAGAUACUGUCCAUGGCUUGAUCUUGGCCUGGAUGCCAAAACCUUGUCAUUUGUUGUAAAGCACUCCUUAAUUGCAUCAUGAUUGCUAACCACAACCGUACGGUGUACCCCGAGCCAAAUUGUGAAGAUGGGACCAUAUUUGUCUGCCAGGCGACCCAGGCUUCGAGCAAGUGUUUUCUCAGCACCCAGUAGAUGUAUGUGACCUAUAAUUGGCAAGGUUCCUGGUACUUCUGGGGCUAAUUUACCCUUACUUUUAUGACUCUGAUCUCUUAACCUCCAUAGAUUGUACCAAUACAAUAAAACUAAUGCUAAAACCCCCGGAAUUGCUAGAAGAUGAGAAGAGAAAUCCAUCGGGAGCUGUGGAGUCUGAGAAAUUAAUUGCUGAAUCACCAAAAGAGUAAAUGCAGAGGAAGUAUGAGCAGUUC